UAAUUUUCCAAGCAUAUUUCAGAUAAUAACACAGUUUAAUUGUGAUUGAUUUUGAUUUUGCUUGAAGUAAAUGAAAAAGUUUAAAAUUAUUUGGCCAAGAACAAUAAUAUUUUGGCAAAUGUUCUUGUCUCACAGUUCUGUAGGCUGGACAAACAAGUAUGAAGUGGUAUUCAUUUUCAAUACAAGCCAUAUUACAGCAUUCACAUAGACGCAUAUGUCUAGGAAUAUUUUUAUAUCGCCCUAAUUCCAAAUUCAGUUUCAAAGUACCACUUCUCAAUUUUGUAAGUAAGUUACUAUUAAUAAAAAAAUCUAAAUAAUUCUCUAUUACAAAGUCUGUUUUCAGGUGUUUAUAAAUACACAGUUUU
rnacentral:lncRNA from 1 species